UGUAUUUCCAAUGGUUUAUGUCCACUGGUGUAUUUCCAAUGGUUUAUGUCCACUGGUGUAUUUCCAAUGGUUUAUGUCCACUGGUGUAUGUCCAUCAGUUUAUGUCCAUUUCUGUAUGUCUCCUAUGUCUAUGUCUCCUUUUUAGACACUCCUUGACAAAAUGUUAUUGUUAAAGCAUGGCACAUUUUAGGCUAUUCAUUUCAAUUCAACUGACAUGGGAUAAUGUAGAAUAUUGGUGGAGUUGCCUAUAGUUUUCUUUGCAUUUAGUUUUUUUCAUGAAUGGUGUGCUCACACUAUAUAUUAUGCUUAGAGACCAGAUUGAACCAAAAUCAGACCAGCUUACUGGACCAAACCUAGCCUUUUACCCCUGGUUACAAAAUCUUUCCUCUUGGUUUGCACCCAACACUAUUCCAUGGAUAUUCCAAACUGAUAUUUAGGAUCAUCAAAUGUAUUUUUUCUCUUGUAAUGUUUGUUUAUUUGACCCCUUUUAAGAGCAGUGAUACAUGUUUCCAUACCCGUAAAUAAAUGAUGUUUCUUUUUUGCUCUUCAAGAAGGUUUAUCCUGUGACUGAAGUUGUCCUGGGUUUGCUGUGUGACUGUGCCCUCAUAGAGGUGCUUGAUGUUCUCCAGCUCCUAUGGAAUACAGGGAGAGAGGUCAAGAAAAUUCUGUUCAGCACUAAUUGUUAUCUCAUACAGAGGCUAUGCUGUCACUGCACAUAAUCUUCUUAUGGAGCAUUAUUGUCAUCUGUGUGUAAAUACAGGAUUCUCAACCAGGGUUUCCCAGUUGAGGUUCAAAGGGCUUUAUUUCUACAUGCCCCUCAGCCAGCUUAACAAGAAUCUGCAGCAAAUAGCCUUCUGCAAACACAUACACACAAAUACCGGUGUACCCCAUUGUCGUGGUCUUCCCUCACCCGGUCGUGAGAAGUGUACUAUAUGGGGGAUAGUGUCCAAUUCUGGACAGACCCAAAAGCAACUUCUAGUCAGUUGGAGAAGGCUCCGAGCCUAGCGAAAGAAAAAUGGGAUUCCAUGUACCCAACUUUUUUAUUCAUCAACACAUUUACUAAGACAUUCAAUGAAGCGUAGUUGGAAUAAGAUUGCCAAUUACUUUGAAUGCUAAAGGGAGUUGAACUGGAAUGAAAAGGAAUUGUCAUGUAGAACAACCACUCUCUGAGUCUUUUACUGGGAGACCCUGAGUAGGAUGGCAGGAUUUGGCUGCUAUAUUUUAUAUGCUUUAUUUUCUCAUGUUGUCAUUUUUA
ensembl:lncRNA